rnacentral:rRNA from 1 species
GACGAACGCUGGCGGCGUGCUUAACACAUGCCAGUCGAACGGAAAGGCCCUGCGUUUGUUGGGUGCUCGAGAGGCGAACGGGGGAGUAACACGUGAGUAACAUGCCCCUGUCUUUGGGAUAACAUCAGGAAACUCGGGCUAAAACCGGAUAGGAGCUCCUGCUGCAUGUUGGGGGUUGGAGAGUGUCGGCGGUUGGGGAUGGACUCGCGGCUUAUGAGCUUGUUGGUGGGGUAGUGGUGUACAAAGGCUACGACGGGUAGCCCGCCUGGGAGAGUGACCGGCCACCUUGGGACUGAGAUACGGACCAGACUCGUACGGGACGCAGCAGUCGAGAAUAUUGCAGAGUGGGCGGAAGCCUGAUGCAGCAACGCCGCGUGCGGGAUGACGGCCUUCGGGUUGUAAACCGCUUUCGCCGGUGACGAAGCGUGAGUGACGGUAAUGGGUAAAGAAGCCCCGGCUAACUACGUG